rnacentral:rRNA from 1 species
ACAGCAGCCGCCGCGGUAAUACGUAGGUGGCAAGCGUUAUCCGGAAUUAUUGGGCGUAAAGCGCGCGUAGGCGGUUUUUUAAGUCUGAUGUGAAAGCCCACGGCUCAACCGUGGAGGGUCAUUGGAAACUGGAAAACUUGAGUGCAGAAGAGGAGAGUGGAAUUCCAUGUGUAGCGGUGAAAUGCGCAGAGAUAUGGAGGAACACCAGUGGCGAAGGCGACUUUCUGGUCUGUAACUGACGCUGAUGUGCGAAAGCGUGGGGAUCAAACAGGAUUAGAUACCCCGGUAGUCCCUGUCUCUUAUAC